rnacentral:misc_RNA from 1 species
UUCUGCUUCCACUCAUGAGAACCUCCCGUUGACAGACAGGCCCAAUACCAGGCAAACGGUCGACCAUACCUUUGGGCCGAACAUUGAGCUCUCUCUUCCAUCAUCCAUGCCAAUCCCAGAGCUCGUGCUUUCUCCACAUCCAACCCUAAUCACCCAUUAUUGUCUCGUAGACUUACGGUACUUGCCAUGUCCACUACUGACCAGUCUUAUUGGAGCUCCAUACAUGCUGACAUUGAGACCCAUCUCAAGCAGGCCAUUCCCAUAAGGCCACCGCUAGUUGUCUUCGAGCCCAUGCAUCAUCUCACCUUCAUCGCCCCGCAAACCUCCG